rnacentral:rRNA from 1 species
UCCAGGGCGCAAACGCUGCCUGCUUGAUGUUAGCUGGGCUCCGAGCCCAGCUAGUGUCGGAGCGAAGGUGUUAAGCAGGCUGCCUGGGAAGUACGGCCGCAAGGCUGAAACUUAAAGGAAUUGGCGGGGGAGCACAGCAACGGGUGGAGCGUGCGGUUUAAUUGGAUUCAACGCCGGAAACCUCACCGGGGG